AAGGAUAUAUUCGGAACAUCUCGUAGAGAUGAGGARUAACGUGACAUAUUGUAUUCAGUUUUGAAUGUUUAUUUUAAACAUUCAAYAACUAAAUGAAAAUUGCAUUCAAAAUUAUAUUUUGAUAUACUAUUUUGAUGURAUUGUUUGUUURUUGAUUGUACAUUGAAAACUAGAUAAGUAAGUAAAAUAGAUUUUACCAAGCAAAACCGAGUGAAUAAGAGUUUUAAAAAAGCUUGAAUUCAUAAAAUAUAAUCGCUAGUGUUCGAAAGAACACUCACAAGAUUAAUAACAGGUUUUCGACUUGAACUUUUAAAGAAAUCGUUUUUAGAUAAUGAGUUGAGUUUAUUUAAAGCGCAGUUUACUUUUGUAAAUGAGCAUUUAAAUGAAUGAAAACGAAGCAAUAUGAGAACGAUUGACUAAAAGUUUGGUGGAAACAUA
rnacentral:misc_RNA from 1 species